ACACGCUGGCGGCGUGCUUAACACAUGCAAGUUGAACGGGCAUACAUGGAAGCUUGCUGAAGUGUAUGUUAGUAGCGGACGGGUGAGUAAUGCAUGAGAAGCUGCCAUUGGGAGGGGGACAACAGUUGGAAACGGCUGCUAAUACCCCGUAUGCCGAAAGGUAAAAGGGAGCAAUCCGCCUGAUGAGGUGCUCAUGUCCUAUCAGCUGGUUGGUGGGGUAACGGCCUACCAAGGCGACGACGGGUAGCCGGCCUGAGAGGGUGAACGGCCACACUGGAACUGAGAUACGGUCCAGACUCCUACGGGAGGCAGCAGUGGGGAAUAUUGGGCAAUGGGGGAAACCCUGACCCAGCGACGCCGCGUGAGGGAAGACGGCCUUCGGGUUGUAAACCUCUUUUGUACGGGAAGAAGGAAGUGACGGUACUGUACGAAUAAGUCCCGGCUAACUACGUG
rnacentral:rRNA from 1 species